ACUGCAAGAAAUAGAUGGUUGGUUGUAAUUGUCAACCCUCAUUGCUAUUGAUUAAGAGGGGAUGUGGUAUUCUAUGAAUCCUCCCAGUUCAUUGAUUGUUUCUGCAUCUCCAGAAAACAUGGGUGUCUUCUAAAUUUAGAUAUGCUAUGGUUCAAAAUUUCUCUUAUAUUUAGAAGCAGAAAAUGAACAAAAUGGAACUUUCAUACUUAAAACAGAAAUUGAACGUUAACUUUUGUCUAUAAACCAACCUUAUCUAUGUCUGCAAGGGAGAGAGAUGUAACAGCGUAAGCAUUCAUCAGUUUGCUGAUAACCAGCAUCAUAGCUGACAUGGUUAAUCCGUCUGCAACACAGCCAAACGUCCCCAGUGUCAUCAACACCAUGUCCUUCCAGUCCGAGUAUCUCAAAAUCGACCGUAAUGACCCAGAUGGAGUUGCAGGUUUCCCACUUUCUUCAGUGACUACUGCCUGAGUUUCGACUAUGAAAAAUUGUGUACACAAUCCAUACUACAUGUUUAUAUGGACAACAUAAUAGCCCUGGAGCCAAUUUACUAUUACUAUACCGGAGCUAGGGACAAUCGUUUUAGCUGAUGUCAUGGCUUACAGUUCAUGCAUCCAGGGAUGUAACAAUCCUAUUGUGAUCUGUUAGUAUUAAAUCAGAUCAGCAUCAAGAUUGCCAUAUUAUUGUGCCUUUGAAAGUAACUUUAUCAUUAGAAUGCUUAAAUUAUUGUAGUAACAUUGACUUGGUCA